AUUGAACGCUGGCGGCAUGCUUUACACAUGCAAGUCGAACGGUAACAGGCCUUCGGGCGCUGACGAGUGGCGAACGGGUGAGUAAUGCAUCGGAACGUGCCCAGUCGUGGGGGAUAACUAUCCGAAAGGAUAGCUAAUACUGCAUACGAUCUGCGGAUGAAAGCGGGGGACCUUCGGGCCUCGCGCGAUUGGAGCGGCCGAUGUCAGAUUAGGUAGUGGGUGGGUUAAAGGCUCACCAAGCCAACGAUCUGUAGCUGGUCUGAGAGGUUGACCACCCACAAGGGGGCUGAGACACGGCCCAGACUCCUACGGGAGGCAGCAGAGGGAAAUUUUGGACAAUGGGCGCAAGCCUGAUCCAGCAAUGCCGCGUGCAGGAAGAAGGCCUUCGGGUUGUAAACUGCUUUUGUACGGAACGAAACGGCUCUGGUUAAUACCCGGGGCUAAUGACGGUACCGUAAGAAUAAGCACCGGCUAACUACGUGCCAGCCGCCGCAGUAA
rnacentral:rRNA from 1 species